rnacentral:rRNA from 1 species
GAUGAACGCUGGCGGCGUGCUUAACACAUGCAAGUCAAGGGGGCCCGGAGCGCAAGCUUUGGGCAACCGGCGAACGGGUGCGUAACACGUGAGCAACCUGCCUAGGUGUGGGGGAUAGCCGGCUCAACGGCCGGGUAAUACCGCAUACGCUCAACACGAGGCAUUUCGAGUUGAGGAAACCUUCGGGGCACUAUGAGGGGCUCGCGGCCUAUCAGCUAGUUGGCGAGGUAAUGGCUCACCAAGGCUACGACGGGUAGCUGGUCUGAGAGGAUGGCCAGCCACAUUGGGACUGAGAAACGGCCCAGACUCCUACGGGAGGCAGCAGUGGGGAAUCUUGCGCAAUGGCCUAACGGCUGACGCAGCGACGCCGCGUGAGGGAUGACGCUCUUCGGAGUGUAAACCUC